rnacentral:lncRNA from 1 species
GCAUAUGUAAGUUCCCAGGCUAGCACCACAGCAACGCCAGAUCCAAGCCAUGCAUCUGUGACCUACACCACAGCUCAUGGCAACACCUGAUCCUCAGGACCCACUGAGGAAAGCCAGGGAUGGAACCCGAAUCCUCACGCACGCAUACUAGUCAGGUUUGUUACCACUGAGCCACAACAGGAACUCCCAUAAUUAACCCUUGUUUGACAGAGAGGAAAGGAACAAAUCUCUGACAGAGGUAUACAUGUAUACUGGAGCCAGAGCUUUUGUUCGGCUCUUCCAAAUACAUAAAAACACUGAUACUGCAAAGUAGCUAUGCUUAUGGCCUCUGAGUCCAAAUCCAAGCAUUUUUCAUCAAAUGACUGCUUGAGCUUUCUGCUGACUGAUAUUAUUUUACAUAAUUUGGUAACAUUUCCCAGCUUCCAUACCUCGUUUCAAAUGCAUGGCAAUGUUGCACCGUUCUGCUCAAAGUAGCAUUUAUAAAUUUCCCCAAAGCAUGUUUUCGUCCUCCAUGCUUGAGCUGUUGCACUUCAGGUCACUAAGAAUAUUGCUCUUAGUAUCUGUCACAUUUUCUAGCCUAGUAAAGCUAUGAUGAUGAUUUGAUGAGGGGUAAACCCAACUUGAGAAAAAUGCAACAUUACAUUCGGUGCAUGGAGGAUACCAAUGAAACGGUCAUGAUAUAUGUUUUUAUAGACUCUUGAUUCUUCAUUGAGAGCAGAAGAAUCAAGAGUCAAAUUCAUUUUUGUAUUCUCCGUCCCUCACACAGACUCUCAAUAACCGACCAUUAAGUUGGUGGUUGAGGUACCUACGGAUGGAGGUGUCAGGGCUGCUGGCAGUCCUGUGUGGUAGUGGUGUUGAUACAAGGCAAAUUUGAAAAGUUGUAAAGGAUGGUCAUAGCUGAUGCCGAGAUGCAUUUAUUCGGUCACUCUGUGGGCACUUUACAUACAUUAACUGUGAAAUUCCCAAACUACACUAUGUGAUAAGUAUUAUGAUCCCAUGUUUCAGAUAAAGAAACUCAAGUUUGGAGAUAUUAAGUAAUUUUUUUUUGCCCAAAAUGUCACAGAUAAUAAGUGGUAUAAUCUGGAACCCAAAGCUAAUACCUUCAGUCCACAGUAUUCUGCUGCUUCAUACACCUGCAUCCUAACCCUGCUUCGUAUUUUCAUCUGUUUUUCAGUGCCUAAUAGUGUGGCAGGAAAAGCACAACACUUUCAAAAAGAAAGAUAUUUAAGUCCCUGCUCCAGUAUUUGCCAACUGAGCAAGCAAAUCGAUUGCUCAACUGAGCAAGCGUAUAGAUUUCCCAUCCACCUACAUAAUGGGAAAUUCCUGCCUUGCCCAUCUGAGUUAUAACAUUGUCUCAGGUGAAGGGUUUUGGAAGCUGAAAAAGUAUUUGUAAGAAAUGCUGGCCUUUUGCUUCUCAAUGAAAUUUAGGUCUUUCAGGUCAAUUACAAUCUUGGAUUUGGUCAAUUAAAAUCUUUAGGUUAGUAGUAAAAUUGACCCUAAAAAAAAAAUCUCAAUAUGAAUCGAUAAGAUUACUCAAUACAAUCACUUAUUUACUACUAAAACCCAUUUAUUUUCUAACUUUGCAGUAGAAAAUUCUGGCAGAGACCACCAUUUAGGAACACCGCCAAGCAAGCAUUGGUGGUAGAAUGGUGAGCACAGCUGCCUUCCUAGGAGCAUCACCAAUAAGAGGACAAACUGACAUCUUGCACCUCCUGCUGUGAUGCAGCAACACAUCCCUUAUAUGAAAAAAAGACCUAGAUUCUGAAAAAAAAAACAAAACAAAACCAAAAAAAACAAAACAAAACAAAACAAAAAAAACCUAGUAUUACUGAAGACAAAGAAAGGCUGAGGAACUCUUGUUUCAGGUUUACAGAGACCGAAGACACACGACUAAAUACAAUGUGUGUUCCUGAAAUGAAAACUUUUUUUUUUUUGCAGUAAAUGGCAUUAUUGGGACAAUAGGCAAAAUUUUAGCAGAUGGCACACAUUAGAUAAUAUUAUUAUGACAACAUUAAACACCCUGCAUUUGAUCAUUGUAUUUUGGUUAAAGAAUGCCUCUGUUCUUAAAAUAUACACACUAGGGUAUUCAGGAAUGAAGGUCCAUAAGGUUCUGUAAUUUACUUUCAAUUUGUUCCCCCAAACAAAUACAAUAAUAUAAAACUCUACAUCCUAUGCCUGGGCUACUAUUCAUCAUUCACAGAGGAUACUAGAUAGGGAUAAAAUAUGCAGUUACCCAGUGGAAGAAAAAUGAAUUUUAUUUGUGCGAGAUGGUACCAACUUUCCGCAAAUAUACCAGGAAUCAGAAAAAUCUAAAUAUAGGUAAGGCACUCUAGGGUCAGCUGUAAGGCAACAAUCAAAGCUGCUGAAUAUGAGAAGAAUCCCUACAGCAUGUGGGAGAAGCCACCCCAUGUCUAGAAUAGAAGGGGUCCAGAGACGGCUGGGCCGAGGACACCUCAGGUUCGCAGUUCAGCUGAACACAAUUCCCCCGGGUUUCUGAUACACUUUAUACCUGCUGGACCGCUGGCGCCAGGUCCAGAAGGGGACACCUAACCAAGGGCUGAGCCUGAAAGUCCCCAAUGCCUAAGUACCUCCUGGAAGUAAAUGAGUAAAUGGAUCCAACGACAAUGCAUUAGUGUUUCUGGAGUGUUUAGCAACGAAAAGACCAGUAACUUUGCUCAGGACUGGCAUUAAUCCUUCCACUCUGAUCUGGAAGAAAUUGCUGUGAAUCACGUCUUGAUAGCUAAGGAGUGUAAAUUAAAAGGAAGAAUUCCUUGCUCGGGGGACGGAGGUUCGUAGAGAGUCCUGUUUCUACGGGAGACAGACACACUAUCUUUUAGAAUUUAACCCGUUUAAAAUGGCCAAGAGAAGCAAACUGGUAGAACCUCAAAUCCAGGAGCACUUCACAAACUCACGACCUACCCCUAACUUGCUCGAAUUAGCCGGCCGCCGGCAAUUCCAGUCCCCUUCGGCGCCGGGGACGCUCCGACUACCAUCUACCCACCCGCGCGGGCGAGAGAAAGUUGCAGCCGCGGAGCGCCCCGCGCAGCCGGGCCGAGCAUCCCCGGCCGAGCAUCCCCCGCGCGCUCCGGGGUGGAGAGGGGCCGCCGGCGCCACCCCCGCGCGGCCGCGGGCUGGGACUGUACCUCGGGCGCGGGCGGCGAGGCGCCGAAGGCGGCGGGGCCGAUGGGCUGCAGGCGCCGGGGGCCGGAGGAGCUCAUGGCGGCCGGAGCCCCGCGGCGCGUUCAGACCCGUGGCGCCGGGAAGCGAGGCG